UACAGAGGGCGCGAGCGUUGUCCGGAAUCACUGGGCGUAAAGGGCGCGUAGGCGGCUUUCUAAGUCAGGGGUGAAAUCCUGGAGCUCAACUCCAGAACUGCCUUUGAUACUGGCGAUCUUGAGUCCGGGAGAGGUGAGUGGAACUGCGAGUGUAGAGGUGAAAUUCGUAGAUAUUCGCAAGAACACCAGUGGCGAAGGCGACUCACUGGCCCGGUACUGACGCUGAGGUGCGAAAGCGUGGGGAGCAAACAGG
rnacentral:rRNA from 1 species